UACGUAGGGUGCGAGCGUUAAUCGGAAUUACUGGGCGUAAAGCGUGCGCAGGCGGUUUCUUAAGCCAGAUGUGAAAGCCCCGGGCUUAACCUGGGAAUUGCGUUUGGAACUGGGAGACUAGAGUGUGGCAGAGGGAGGUAGAAUUCCACGUGUAGCAGUGAAAUGCGUAGAGAUGUGGAGGAAUACCGAUGGCGAAGGCAGGCUCCUGGGCCAACACUGACGCUCAUGCACGAAAGCGUGGGGAGCAGACAGG
rnacentral:rRNA from 1 species